ensembl:snRNA U6 U6 spliceosomal RNA
GCUUCCUUCGGCAGCACAAUACAGAGAUUAGCAUGGCCCCUGCGCAAGGAUGACAUGCAAAUUUGUGAAGCAUUUUAUAUAUAA